rnacentral:hammerhead_ribozyme from 1 species
AUCUCGCCGAUGAGUCCCAAAUAGGAUGAAACACGCGUUAAACUAGAU